rnacentral:rRNA from 1 species
GACAGAGGGUGCAAACGUUGUUCGGAAUUACUGGGCGUAAAGCGCGUGUAGGCGGUUGCACAAGUCGGGUGUGAAAGCCCAGGGCUCAACCCUGGAAGUGCACUCGAAACUAGGUGACUAGAGUCUCGGAGAGGAAAGCGGAAUUCUGGGUGUAGAGGUGAAAUUCGUAGAUAUCCAGAGGAACACCGGUGGCGAAGGCGGCUUUCUGGACGAGUACUGACGCUGAGACGCGAAAGCGUGGGGAGCAAACAGG